GACGAACGCUGGCGGCGUGCUUAACACAUGCAAGUCGAACGAAGUAGCGAACGGGUGAGUAACGCGUAAACAACCUGCUCUUCAGCGGGGGACAACAGUUGGAAACGACUACUAAUACCGCAUACUGAAGGAGGGGAUUGCGUCUGAUUAGCUAGUUGGAGGGGGAACGGCCCACCAAGGCGAUGAUCAGUAGCCGGUCUGGGAGGAUGAACGGCCAAAUUGGGACUGGGACACGGCCCAGACUCCUACGGGAAGCAGCAGGGGGGAAUCUUCCGAAAUGGACGAAAGUCUGACGGAGCAACGCCGCGUGAGUGAUGACGGCCUUCGGGUUGUAAAGCUCUGUUAAGCGGGACGCGGUACCGGAAUAGAAAGCCACGGCUAACUACGUGCCAGCAGCCGCGGUAAUAC
rnacentral:rRNA from 1 species